rnacentral:rRNA from 1 species
UACGUAGGGUGCAAGCGUUGUCCGGAAUUAUUGGGCGUAAAGAGCUUGUAGGCGGUUUGUCGCGUCUGCUGUGAAAACCUAAGGCUCAACCUUGGGCUUGCAGUGGGUACGGGCAGACUAGAGUGCGGUAGGGGUGACUGGAAUUCCUGGUGUAGCGGUGGAAUGCGCAGAUAUCAGGAGGAACACCGAUGGCGAAGGCAGGUCACUGGGCCGCAACUGACGCUGAGGAGCGAAAGCAUGGGGAGCGAACAGG